AUACCAAACCCGUGUCAUUAUAUAUAUGUAUGUAUAUACUUGGACCCGGCUAUGCCAAUAAGUCAUUUUUGACAAGACCGAACCCAAAAAGUAAAAAUUGAUGCUCUGUCAAAAGAUAGCAUCUGACAAUGCCAGCAGAUGCGUAACCAUUAAAACAACGCGUUUUUAGUUUAAAAAAAAAAAAAAAAAAAAAAAAAAAAAAAAACAAAACAAAACACAAAUAUAAUAUAUAUAAAUGGUUGUGGUUGUAUUUCUUCGCCAUUCGCCUAGAGUGUUUGGGAAAUACAGAAAGAGGGAGAGAGAAACAGAGAGGAGAGGGAAAGGGUGAUAGAGCUUCAGGAAGGUGUAGGACGUGGGUGGAUCGGUAAGAAAACAACAGAUACAGAUUUGUGAUAUGUAUGUAUAACCGAUCUAACUUUUUCUUGCCGACACCACCCAUUCCCAUGCUUUCCCGAGGUUCCGCCCUUUCCCUUCUACUCUUCCCGGCAAAACCUAUAUAUUUAGAGAGAGAUGUGUUUGUUUAUAUACAUAUAUAGAGAGAGAGAGAGAGGGAGAGGGGGAAGAUAAAAAGGAGUAAGAGGGAAAGGGAGAUCGAUCUACAGGGAGUUGUGGGUGUGGGGUGCUUGGGUAGGAGGAAAUCAACUCUUCUUCCCAAGACCCCCCAUACCGAUGAUUCCUUGUUGUUCCUCCCUUUCCCUUCCUUAUCCUGCUUAGAUACUUUUCCACUUCUCGUGCUUGUGCUGCUCUGUAAGGUAAAUUGCAGGUUUCGGUCAAUGUCAGAUGCGAGCCAGCCAACGGCAUGUCACCUACAGCGGUUUCAAAUGUCUUGAUUAUUUAAUUUAAUUAAUUUAUAAAAUAUCAGUUUUGUUAAUGGAUAAAAUUACCCUUUUAUUUUAUUUUAGUUCCCGAUCUGAGA